rnacentral:rRNA from 1 species
GUAGGGAAUAUUGGGCAAUGGUCGGAAGACUGACCCAGCCAUGCCGCGUGCAGGAAGACGGCCCUCUGGGUUGUAAACUGCUUUUAUCUGGGAAGAAAAAGGCCAUGCGUGGCAAAUUGCCGGUACCAGAUGAAUAAGCACCGGCGAACUCCGUGCCAGCAGCCGCGGUAAUACGGAGGGUGCGAGCGUUGUCCGGAUUUAUUGGGUUUAAAGGGUGCGUAGGCGGCUGAUUAAGUCAGCGGUGAAAGACUUCGGCUUAACCGGAGCAGUGCCGGUGAUACUGGUUGGCUUGAGUGUCGGAGGGGUACAUGGAAUUGAUGGUGUAGCGGUGAAAUGCAUAGAUACCAUCAGGAACACCGAUAGCGAAGGCAUUGUACUGGCCGACAACUGACGCUGAUGCACGAAAGUGUGGGGAUCGAACAGGAUUAGAUACCCCAGUAGUCC